CUGUAUCUCAACAGCUGAUAUCUUCUUAUAGGAACUCUAUCUCAAGAGCUGAUAUCUUCUAGUUAAAGUAACCAACUUAAAGGACAACUAUAACCUCAAAGCUAUUUUUAAUAUAAUAACCCUUUCAUAAAAUUUUGAAAGGAAAUAGAUUUAAAAAAAAAAAGAAGUAUAUGUACACAAAAUGAGGAAAACCUAUUUCUACCAUUAGCAUAUGACAGGAUCCUUUAGCCAUAUACAUGUCUCU